rnacentral:lncRNA from 1 species
UAAUCAUCUAUGAUUUUUAUGUUUAACUCUGAUCAUAUAGAGGUAUGACUAUUUGCACAAAAUGUCAAGUGGAAUAUCUUGUUUUCAAGUUUGUAGAUCAAGAAGUUCAUUAAUUAUGGUGUUUGAGUCAAUCACCAAUAGAAGUAAGGAUUCUUCAAUAUGUUCAUUUAUAUUUUAUAAAAAAUUAUAUUUGUAUGAUUGAUGUAUAUUCUAUAUCUAUCGAUAAAUGUAUUAUAUAUUAUUGAAUUGAUGUUUCUUAUACUAUAAUUAAUUAGUGUUUAAUGAUUGUUGAGUAAGAAAAAAUUUAAUUUUACAUAAUUGAUGGGGUGUGGGCGGCAUGUAAUUUGAUCGAUCAUAUAAGAAAUAGAAUGUAUAUGCUGGAUAGAUCUCAGACUAGGAUGUGGCAUUAUUUGUCUACCACAGGCUGGAGUAUAAUUGUAACUAAUCUAAUAUUAGAAAUCAGAUUAUAAUUUUAAUAAUAUAUAUAGAUAUGAUGUGGGCGG